rnacentral:rRNA from 1 species
GACGAACGCUGGCGGCGUGCUUAACACAUGCAAGUCGAACGGAAAGGCCCUGCUUUUGUGGGGUGCUCGAGUGGCGAACGGGUGAGUAACACGUGAGUAACCUGCCCUUGACUUUGGGAUAACUUCAGGAAACUGGGGCUAAUACCGGAUAGGAGCUCCUGCUGCAUGGUGGGGGUUGGAAAGUUUCGGCGGUUGGGGAUGGACUCGCGGCUUAUCAGCUUGUUGGUGGGGUAGUGGCUUACCAAGGCUUUGAGGGGUAGCCGGCCUGAGAGGGUGACCGGCCACAUUGGGAUGGAGAUACGGCCCAGACUCGUACGGGAGGCAGCAGUGGGGAAUAUUGCACAAUGGGCGGAAGCCUGAUGCAGCAACGCCGCGUGCGGGAUGACGGCCUUCGGGUUGUAAACCGCUUUCGCCUGUGACGAAGCGUGAGUGACGGUAAUGGGUAAAGAAGCACCGGCUAACUACGUG